rnacentral:rRNA from 1 species
CCUACGGGUUGCAGCAGUGGGGAAUAUUGCGCAAUGGCCGAAAGGCUGACGCAGCGACGCCGCGUGUGGGACGACGGCCUUCGGGUUGUAAACCACUGUCGGGAGGAACGAAUACCGGACGUCGAAUAGGCGAUCCGGGGUGACGGUACCUCCAAAGGAAGCACCGGCUAACUCCGUGCCAGCAGCCGCGGUAAUACGGAGGGUGCGAGCGUUGUCCGGAAUCACUGGGCGUAAAGGGCGCGUAGGCGGCUCAUUAAGUGGCUGGUGAAAUCCCGGGGCUCAACUCCGGGGCUGCCGGUCAGACUGGAGGGCUGGAGCACGGUAGAGGCGGAUGGAAUUCCCGGUGUAGCGGUGGAAUGCGUAGAGAUCGGGAAGAAUACCGGUGGCGAAGGCGUUCCGCUGGGCCGUUGCUGACGCUGAGGCGCGACAGCGUGGGGAGCAGACAGGAUUAGAUACCCCGGUAGUC